ACGAUAUGCUUUGGGGAGCUGUAAGUAAGCUUUGAUCCAGAGAUUUCCGAAUGGGGAAACCCAGCAUGAGUUAUGUCAUGUUAUCGAUAUGUGAAUACAUAGCAUAUCAGAAGGCACACCCGGAGAACUGAAACAUCUUAGUACCCGGAGGAAGAGAAAGAAAAUUCGAUUCCCUUAGUAGCGGCGAGCGAAACGGGAAGAGCCCAAACCAACAAGCUUGCUUGUUGGGGUUGUAGGACACUCUAUACGGAGUUACAAAGGACGACAUUAGACGAAUCAUCUGGAAAGAUGAAUCAAAGAAGGUAAUAAUCCUGUAGUCGAAAAUGUUGUCUCUCUUGAGUGGAUCCUGAGUACGACGGAGCACGUGAAAUUCCGUCGGAAUCUGGGAGGACCAUCUCCUAAGGCUAAAUACUCUCUAGUGACCGAUAGUGAACCAGUACCGUGAGGGAAAGGUGAAAAGCACCCCGGAAGGGGAGUGAAAUAGAACCUGAAACCGUGUGCUUACAAGUAGUCAGAGCCCGUUAAUGGGUGAUGGCGUGCCUUUUGUAGA
rnacentral:rRNA from 1 species